GCCCUGUGCGUCGCAGGGCCGCGUUCUCCGGCCGACGACAGACGCGGGCCUGACUGGACACGCGCUGCCCCAGGACCCGGGCAGGAGGCCUGUGAGGUAUUUGCCCGCCCCUCCCCUUGACCGACUAGUGACCAGUGUCUCCGUAACAGUGUGAAGUCGUGGACCGUGGUGGAGACCUGGAGUGAUUCUGGUCACUUCAACGUUUUUGGUUUACUUUUCGUCGUAUUGUAGUAAGGUAAUUCCUGCACCUAUUUCGGCACGUCUACCUGUGGAGGGACCACAGAGCUCUGCGUCGUGCAAGCGAGCAGUCACAGCGGCCUGGAGCCCCCCUGGGGUGGGACUAUCUUAGAGGCUUCACCCAAACACAUGCUCUCGUACCUAAAAACUUGAGUCCAGGAAAUUCCUUUUAUCCACCAGAGGGGUACGGCUUCUUUCUGUCCUGCCACCGUCACCCUGUCCCCAGGCGCCGGGCUGGGGACCCAUGUGUACCCAUCGCGGCCCAGAGGGAAGUUACCACCACAGCAGGAGGUUAUCGUAGAAUAGAUUUAUUUACCUGAAACCAUGUCUGUGCAAUGUUGGUUACAGCACAGAAAUAAACAACUGAUGUCUAUUUACAGUCUAAAGUCACACAUGCGUUGUGAUAAACUGACGUUUAGCAUCUUAUUGAGAUAAAUGCACACAAUAUUCGUAUUGCACCAACAUCUGUCUACUGCUUCUGAUCUCAUUAAAUAAGUUACGUUUAAUACAGCGCAAAUGAGCUGUCUGCACACUCAAAAGUGACUGAAGUUAUGAACUGGAGGGCUGCAUUUUAACCAUUCAACACAUGUAGUGUUUCCAAUGAAUUUAUAAAUAAGCAAACUGUACAGGGCCAAUUAAAAAGUGGCAUAUUUCAAUGACAUCGGAGAGAAAUCUGGCUACUUACAACGGAAGGCAUGCAUUACAACUGAGAACUGAAUAUUAUACAUUUACAUAAGCUGGGACGUUUUGCACAGAGAAGAAUGGAGACUUGGCUGAUGGCUUCUAAGUUCUUGGAUGAGGUUGCAGAACCUCAUUCUUCUUGCAGCAAAGAAACCAAACUUCUCUGGAGAGGUUUCUGGUUCAUUCAGCUAAAUUGUACAUUUGUAAUUAUUCUCAUUGAAAAGCUAAACACCCCACUGCUAAUACACAUCUCCUCCACAGAACACACAGAGUCGGGGAAGCUUGUCUCCUUCCCCCAACAUCAAUCAUGCAGAGGUCGGUAGAUGUAUUGCUAAAAA